AACUCAUGGUGAGGGCACCUUCUCAAUAGAUCUUUGUAUCUCUCUCAUGCAUCAUAGAGUGUUUCUAGAUCCAUCUGGACAAAAGAAGAGAUAUCAUUUCUCAAUUU
rnacentral:snoRNA from 1 species